GGACACGUGGUAUCCUGUCUGAAUAUGGGGGGACCAUCCUCCAAGGCUAAAUACUCCUGACUGACCGAUAGUGAACCAGUACCGUGAGGGAAAGGCGAAAAGAACCCCGGCGAGGGGAGUGAAAAAGAACCUGAAACCGUGUACGUACAAGCAGUGGGAGCACGCUUAGGCGUGUGACUGCGUACCUUUUGUAUAAUGGGUCAGCGACUUAUAUUCUGUAGCAAGGUUAACCGAAUAGGGGAGCCGAAGGGAAACCGAGUCUUAACUGGGCGUUAAGUUGCAGGGUAUAGACCCGAAACCCGGUGAUCUAGCCAUGGGCAGGUUGAAGGUUGGGUAACACUAACUGGAGGACCGAACCGACUAAUGUUGAAAAAUUAGCGGAUGACUUGUGGCUGGGGGUGAAAGGCCAAUCAAACCGGGAGAUAGCUGGUUCUCCCCGAAAGCUAUUUAGGUAGCGCCUCGUGAAUUCAUCUCCGGGGGUAGAGCACUGUUUCGGCAAGGGGGUCAUCCCGACUUACCAACCCGAUGCAAACUGCGAAUACCGGAGAAUGUUAUCACGGGAGACACACGGCGGGUGCUAACGUCCGUCGUGAAGAGGGAAACAACCCAGACCGCCAGCUAAGGUCCCAAAGUCAUGGUUAAGUGGGAAACGAUGUGGGAAGGCCCAGACAGCCAGGAUGUUGGCUUAGAAGCAGCCAUCAUUUAAAGAAAGCGUAAUAGCUCACUGGUCGAGUCGGCCUGCGCGGAAGAUGUAACGGGGCUAAACCAUGCACCGAAGCUGCGGCAGCGACGCUGAUGCGUUGUUGGGUA
rnacentral:rRNA from 1 species